GGAUCUGGAGGAUGAAAAAGGAGAGGGUGACAAAUCUGGGGGGUGGGCAAGAAAGGAAGGUUUUUUGUUUUUUUUCCUUCUUCUUUGGAGCAGAGGGCAUUCUCCAGUUUGACGGGGAGAGUGGGAUACACAGAAAAAGAGAGAAUUUAUCGUGGGCUUCGGGGUGAAUUAUAGGUGUAGAAAACAUUGCGUGUAAGGGAGAUUUCUCAGAAGUAUGUUUCAUUCUCUUUCCGAAUUCUCUUUUGGUCUCUUCAUUUACUCUUAAAGCUCAUUGAGAAUGCAUGAUUUGGAGCUUUGUUCACUACGCCUAUCAGAGUCUGGCCUAUUUUUACUGUCAUUCCUUUUUUCCUGUUUUCUUUCUUUUUCUGUAUUUCCUCCUUGUUUUGUGCAUUCCCCGUAUGUGCCUCCCCUGUGUGUGGGUUCGCAUUGAUUUCAAGUGUCACUGUUGAGGAAUUGGGUCUGAGAGCAGAAACCCCUAUUGGAACUUCAUUUACCGAUGCUCAUGCUGGCAAUGUAAAGUUCAAUUUCUUGAAUGGUUCGGAUCCCUACCAUGCAUACCUCCAACACCGCCUGUUUGAACUUCGCUCUCAGAAUCAGUCCUCUGCACAGCAGAUUCCUUCACAACUUGCAGAUUCUUUUGCUCCUGAAUCUACCCCAUCUGCUCCACCUGCCGACAAUAGUGAGACAUUGAUGAAGCCUGAGCCCUCGUCCCAGUUUAAACCAUUCCGCAAGGUUCUUGAGCCCCCCAGAGACUGAGCAAUGCGCUGUUCGUCUUCCAGAAGGGAUUACAGGGGAAGAGUUGGAUGUUAUUAAUCUCACAGCUCAAUUUGUGACACGAAAUGGGAAGUCUUUCUGGACAGAACUGACCGGCAGGGAGGUGAACACGCCCACGGUUCCAUUUUUGAAGCUCUCCAUGGAUGGCUCUCCAAGUUCGUAGUCCCUGAGGUUGAAUUCUGCUCACGAGGCAGAAGCUCAGCUCCGCCAUGCCGAGCCGAUGGGCCACCGCUGCUCAUAACCUGCCAUGAUUGGCUAUUUUUCUUACAGAAGUUGCCGGACGAGACUGUUUCCCGGGCCAUGAAAAGCCUUGGGAAGGAUAUAAAAGCUUUGUGGAUUCAUCAAGGGGAGGAACGACAACAAAAGAGGAAGGGGGACGGUCUUGCGAAAGAGCUUGACAGGAGGAUUCUAGCCUUCCAGAAGGCAGAGAACAGAGUCCUAGAGUUCAAGCUUUCAGAACAUAAAUCUGAGCCAAUCGCGCAGCUAGAGAUGGGUAUAUACCUGAGCACCCCAAAAACUGAGAAGUUAUCUGAGGAUGGUGAGAAUGGCAGGGUUAGAUAUGGUUCAUCAUCCAUGCAAGGAUGGCGCGCAACCAUGGAAGAUGCUCAUGCUGCAUACCCUGAUCUGGAUGCUUCCACUUCGUUUUUUUGGUGUUUGUGAUGGCUAUGGAGGUAAGGUAGUUGCAAAGUUUUGUGCCAAGUAUCUUCAACAACAGGUGCUCAAGAAUGAAGCAUAUACAGCUGGAGACUUGGGAACUUCAGUUCAAAAAUUCUUUUUCGGAAUGGAUAAGUUGAACGCGGGGAAAGCAAAGAUGAGAAAGGAAGCUUGGAAAGGAUUUCAGGGUUGCCGCAUUUGGGAGGUGGAACGAGGCCCUGCAUGGUGAUUUAGGUGCUGCCAGGUGUAAAUAGGCAGCAAGUUGGUGCAUUUCAUGGAGAAGUGGGGCUUCAUUACUUCACCUCCAGAAGCUGGUAGCGAACUAAUGACAUAAGGCGGUGUAAGCAAACGGAAUGACAAGUCAAGGGUGGCAUGGGAAUUUUCAUAAGUGGCAGGGCACUUCAAGUUUUCAGAAUAAAUAAGUGGCAGUGAAAUGAUGCAGUUGUGGUCUCA